rnacentral:rRNA from 1 species
GACGAACGCUGGCGGCGUGCUUAACACAUGCAAGUCGAACAGAAAGGCCCUGCUUUUGUGGGGUGCUCGAGUGGCGAACGGGUGAGUAACACGUGAGUAACCUGCCCUUGACUUUGGGAUAACUUCAGGAAACUGGGGCUAAUACCGGAUAGGAGCUCCUGCUGCAUGGUGGGGGUUGGAAAGUUUCGGCGGUUGGGGAUGGACUCGCGGCUUAUCAGCUUGUUGGUGGGGUAGUGGCUUACCAAGGCUUUGACGGGUAGCCGGCCUGAGAGGGUGACCGGCCACAUUAGGACUGAGAUACGGCCCAGACUCCUACGGGAGGCAGCAGUGGGGAAUAUUGCACAAUGGGCGGAAGCCUGAUGCAGCAACGCCGCGUGCGGGAUGACGGCCUUCGGGUUGUAAACCGCUUUCGCCUGUGACGAAGCGUGAGUGACGGUAAUGGGUAAAGAAGCACCGGCUAACUACGUG